rnacentral:rRNA from 1 species
AUGAACGCUGGCGGCGUGCUUAACACAUGCAAGUCGAACGGGUCCUUUCUUUCGGGAUUGGGCUAGUGGCAGACGGGUGCGUAACACGUGGGUGACCUGCCCUGGAGUGGGGGAUAAUUCCGCUAACGCGGGACUAAUACCGCAUGAGCUCACUGAUUCGGUUCAGUGAGGAAAGCUCCGGUGCUCCGGGAUGGGCCUGCGGCGGAUUAGGUAGUUGGUGGGGUAACGGCCUACCAAGCCGAUGAUCCGUAGGGGGCGUGAGAGCGUGGCCCCCCACACUGGCACUGAGAUACGGGCCAGACUCCUACGGGAGGCAGCAGUGAGGAAUAUUGCACAAUGGGCGGAAGCCUGAUGCAGCAACGCCGCGUGAGGGACGAAGGCCUUCGGGUUGUAAACCUCUUUUCUGAGGGAAGAGACAAGGACGGUACCUCAGGAAUAAGUCUCGGCUAACUACGU